rnacentral:misc_RNA from 1 species
UCUGAUUGCUUAUUGCACCACAUGUGUUUUUUAUUGAACAAAUUUCUUUGGUGGCGGGAGCAAUCCUACCGCCAGAGGUUAUAACUAAACCAAACUUUUUAUUUACAGUCAAACUUGAUUUAUUAUUACAAUAGUCAAAACUUUCAACAACGGAUCUCUUGGUUCUCGCAUCGAUGAAGAACGCAGCGAAAUGCGAUACGUAAUAUGAAUUGCAGAUAUUCGUGAAUCAUCGAAUCUUUGAACGCACAUUGCGCCCUUUGGUAUUCCAAAGGGCAUGCCUGUUUGAGCGUCAUUUCUCCCUCAAACCCCCGGGUUUGGUGUUGAGCAAUACGCUAGGUUUGUUUGAAAGAAUUUAACGUGAAAACUUAUUUUAAGCGACUUAGGUUUAUCCAAAACGCUUAUUUUGCUAGGGGCCACCACAAUUUAUUUCAUAACUUUGACCUCAAAUCAGGUAGGACUACCCGCUGAACUUAAGCAUAUCAAUAGCCGGAAGGAAAAGGAU